UUACUUUCAUGGUGCCAUUCGUUUAAUAUUCUGGAUGUAGAAAAUGUAGCCCAUUUCUUCCCAUUCCAUACGCUACACCUCGACCUGACGUUUUUGGGUGGGCCCAUUUUUGCUUACUAUUAGGCCUUCACAGGGUAAGCUGACGACGGCGGUAUAUAGGCGGGGGAAACAAGGAGUGGUGAGGUU
rnacentral:rRNA from 1 species